CCUUGUACCACACCGCCCGUCACGACCAUGGGAGUUGGUUUCACCGAAGGCGCUACGCUAACCCGCAAGGGGGGCAGGCGACCACCGGUGGGAUCAGCGACUGGGGUG
rnacentral:rRNA from 1 species